ACUUGGGAUUCGAACGGCAGGCGGGAAGUGCUCUAGCAGGGGAGUCUGACCUUGUGAGGGAAUACCUGUGUCCCCCCUUUUUUCCCCUUUUUACCCAAUAAAACCCUGCCUUACUCACCCUUUAAAUCAUCUGCGAGCCUGAAUUUUCAUGGCCGUGGGACGGACAAGAACUUUAUCUUCAGCUGAACUAAGAAAAAGUCCUGCAACAUUUUUGGCGCGCAAUGUGGGGGCACCAGAAGCGGGCACCGUUGAGCUGUUGCAACUGUUCUGCUGGAGCCUUAUGUAUGUGGUUGAAACCACCUGUACUACUGGAAUGAAAGCACCUUUACAGAAGAGGCAAUGCAAGUUGUAUUCAUCACAUGUGUAGAAUGAAUUAAGAUUUAUGCCAGUUGCAAAGAAGAAUAUUGGCUCACUAUUUUUCCUCUGGGCAUGGGUACAAGCAAUUUUCCAGUCUUGACCCUUUAUCUGUUGACCAAGCUAAGGCAGAAACCAGCUAAAUUCUGGAUUUAAUCUUGAGCAGCAAAAAAGAUCAGCUUUUGAAGUGGAUCUGCUUUUAUUCUUGGCAAAAGUUCAGCGGAGACCAACCAGAGUGGUGACAAAGUUCUUCAACAUCAAGCCAAAUAAAGAGACCUCAAGUAAACCUCCAGCAGCCAUCUGGACUUCCAUGAAAACAGAACAAUCAGUGAGAUGCAGAGCUUGGAGGAGACAGUUUCCAUAGACUGAAGCACGUGCUGAAGCAAAGUUCACACUUGCAGGAUUAGAAGAGGUUGACCGAAAGAAGGAAGGACAUGGACAGCUAUGUUGUUGUGGAGUCCUGUUUUAUAGUCAUAACCUUGAGUCAAGUGAGUUUGUCUGGACAGACAGAGCUUGUUGCCUUUACUUAUAGGGAAGGCACCGGACACAGACAGCCUCAAGGACAUUUGUUCUAGCCUUUCAGUAUCCUUUCUCUUAAUUAUCUCACCUCAUCCAUGAAGCUGGUAUGUACGAUUUUUCCUUUCUUUCUCAAUCCUUUAAAAAAUUAAAGCUCUAAAUCUCAUUUCCACUUAGAUUUUAAUGUUGCAUUGUAACUUAAGAUAAAACCUUGCUCUGAUGUUAAAAAUACUAAAGUAAGAAGCAAUAUGGCAUAGUGCUUAUGAGCAGGACUACAUAGUUCUUUCUGAAUACAAAUCUCAGAUAAAACACUAUCUCAGUGAUCAACCAGGUUAAGCAACCUUUUUAGUGCCUCAAUUAUUCCAUUUGUAAAAUUGUAAUAAUGAUAGUACUAACCUAUAAGAUUGUGGUGAGGAUUAAGUCAGAUAAUACAAAAGAAGCAUUUAGAGUAUUUCCUGGCAUUAUCUACCAUUUAUUGAAUUUUUAUGGUUAAGAAGAAUAAGGAAAAGCAGAAGAAAAGGAAAAGAGAAAAAAUACAUAAGAAGAAGGAAGAGUGGUAAGCUCUAGUAAAUUACAACAAACGGUAACGUAGAAAACAUUUGUUAGCCCUUAAUAUAGGCCAGGCACUGUGUUCAAUGCUUAAACCUCAUUACUGUUCUUUGAAGUGGAUAACAUUAUUCCUUCCAUUUUAAAGAAAGGAAUACUAAAGACAACUUUGUCAAUAUUAUUCAUGUAAUAAAUGACAGAAUUUGACCAAGACAAUAGAGAAUGAACUCUUAAUCACUAUAUUGUUUUAUUUUUUGAAAAUAGAUUUUAAGUUCUUAUUAAAUGUUAAUGACUCACAUCAAAAUAAAGCCAAUCAAAAUUGACAGCAA
rnacentral:lncRNA from 1 species